GAUGAACGCUGGCGGCGUGCUUAACACAUGCAAGUCGAACGAAGCAAUUUGGCGGAAGUUUUCGGAUGGAAGCUAGAUUGACUGAGUGGCGGACGGGUGAGUAACGCGUGGGUAACCUGCCUCAUACUGGGGGACAACAGUUAGAAAUGACUGCUAAUACCGCAUAAGCGCACAGGACCGCAUGGUCCGGUGUGAAAAACUCCGGUGGUGUGAGAUGGACCCGCGUUUGAUUAGCUAGUUGGUGGGGUAACGGCCUACCAAGGCGACGAUCAAUAGCCGACCUGAGAGGGUGACCGGCCACAUUGGGACUGAGACACGGCCCAAACUCCUACGGGAGGCAGCAGUGGGGAAUAUUGCACAAUGGGGGAAACCCUGAUGCAGCGACGCCGCGUGAGUGAAGAAGUAUUUCGGUAUGUAAAGCUCUAUCAGCAGGGAAGAAAAUGACGGUAC
rnacentral:rRNA from 1 species